GUUUGUGCACGAGCACCAGGGACGCAAUCUGGACGACAAAAGAGAAGCAUCGUGUGUUCAUUGCUGUUGGCCUUUCCUUCUGUUUUCAAAAGGAUAACCAAGAGUAGUUUUCGAAUGCACCUUCAGGUUGAAAGUAGUCAUUGUCUGUGCACUCCUUUCUGCAACCAGGAAUAAAUGUGUGUUCAGACGCGUUAGCUGAAGGAUUAGUCAGAAGAGUGAUAUGAGAAGCAUCACAGUUUUUGGGAAGCGGACACAGGACAUCCGCAACGCCAAAAGGAAAACUAAAGUGAUAGCUGUGUGGGAGAAUUUUGGCAGGAGUGGUUUCAUUAAAUACACUAC